UACGGAGGGGGCUAGCGUUGUUCGGAAUUACUGGGCGUAAAGCGCGUGUAGGCUGGUCCUUAAGUCGGGGGUGAAAGCCCGGGGCUCAACCUCGGAACUGCCUUCGAUACUGAGGACCUGGAGUCUGGGAGAGGUGAGCGGAAUUCCGAGUGUAGAGGUGAAAUUCGUAGAUAUUCGGAGGAACACCAGAGGCGAAGGCGGCUCACUGGACCAGUACUGACGCUGAGGCGCGAAAGCGUGGGGAGCAAACAGG
rnacentral:rRNA from 1 species